GUAGGAGUUCGAUCAAAGUCUACCUGCAAUUAAAGUCAGGGGCGAAGUCUGGCUCCCUUAGGAGUCCGGACGAAGCUUACCAGCAGUCGAGGUUGAGGAUGAAGCCCGGCUCCCGUGGGAAUCCGGACGAAGCCUUCCAGCCGUUAAGGUUGGGGAUGAAGUCCGGCUCCCGUAGGAGUCUGGACGGAAUCUAUCUGCAAUCAAAGUCAGGGAU
rnacentral:lncRNA from 1 species